CACGUAAGCAAUCUACCUUUAGGUUUGGAAUAACUUCGAGAAAUCGGGGCUAAUACCAGAUGAUGCAGCGAUACCACAUGGUAAUGCUGUUAAAGUCUAUAUGGCGCCUAGAGACGAGCUUGCGUCUGAUUAGCUUGUUGGUAAGGUAAUGGCUUACCAAGGCAACGAUCAGUAGCUGGUCUGAGAGGAUGAUCAGCCACACUGGAACUGAGACACGGUCCAGACUCCUACGGGAGGCAGCAGUGGGGAAUAUUGGACAAUGGGGGAAACCCUGAUCCAGCAAUGCCGCGUGUGUGAAGAAGGCCUGCGGGUUGUAAAGCACUUUC
rnacentral:rRNA from 1 species